rnacentral:rRNA from 1 species
UACGUAGGGUGCGAGCGUUGUCCGGAAUUACUGGGCGUAAAGAGCUCGUAGGCGGUUUGUCGCGUCUGCUGUGAAAACCGGAGGCUCAACCUCCGGCCUGCAGUGGGUACGGGCAGACUAGAGUGCGGUAGGGGAGAUUGGAAUUCCUGGUGUAGCGGUGGAAUGCGCAGAUAUCAGGAGGAACACCGAUGGCGAAGGCAGAUCUCUGGGCCGUAACUGACGCUGAGGAGCGAAAGCAUGGGGAGCGAACAGG